UCCGUAGGUGGAUAAUUAAGUCAGAGGUGAAAUCCUGCAGCUCAACUGUAGAAUUGCCUUUGAUACUGGUUAUCUUGAGUUAUUAUGAAGUAGUUAGAAUAUGUAGUGUAGCGGUGAAAUGCAUAGAUAUUACAUAGAAUACCAAUUGCGAAGGCAGAUUACUAAUAAUCAACUGACACUGAUGGACGAAAGCGUGGGGAGCGAACAGGAUUAGAUACCCUGGUAGUCC
rnacentral:rRNA from 1 species